GAGAGUCAGUAGGCGCGAGCUCAGUUGCUCGCUCGCGCGCAAGGCAGAAGUAUCCGAGACAAAUCGCUACAAGGAUACAUAACUUUCCCGUCGGAAGGGGUUUCUUUGCGGUUUAUGUGCGAGAGAGGAAGAAAGAGGGACGAGGCAGGAGGAAGAGGAGGAGAAAGAGGAGGAGGAGGAGGAGGAGGAGGAUAUGGAGGAAGAGAAGAUGGAGGAGGAAGAGGAUGAAGAGUAGAAGGGUGGGAGAAGAAAGAAAGCAAGAGAGAAGGAAUGUCAUGCAAUGUGUCCGGCCAAACCGAACACCAUAGACUUAACGCGCCAAGGCAACCAAGCAAGCAACCCCCUUCCUUUCUCGAAGAAAACGCCAGUCCGUUUACCAACGACUACUAAACAAGUACGCAAGUAGCAAGGAGCAGCGACGUCGAAGGAGGAGGUUUACCGCGAAGCUUAUAUUGCGGUAAGUGGGCAACCAUUGUCCCGUAAUAUUAAUUCAAACGGCAAUAAUUCAAGAACAAUGACGAAUUUUUACUUCUGAUUUUCAGAUAGAUAUUUUUUCGAUUCAGUUUGAAGAGAUUAUAAAAGAAAAGAAAAGAAAAGAAAAGAAAAAAAAAAGAGAAGUAGACCAAAAAAAGGACAAAAGGAGGAAGGAAAGAAAGAUAAAAAAAAAAAGAUAAGAGAGAAAAAACACGAGGGGGAAAAGAAAUAAUGGUCUAGAUAAGACGAAUAAACGAAUUGAUACGAAUUGACCACAAGAGAGGGUAUCGCGUUUCAUGUAAAUACUUCCGUCGGAUUUCCACGAAUUUAGAAAAGGUCCAAGAGGUCUGCUGCUACAGAUAUUCGGGACGAAAGGCGAUGCACGUUUAAGAUCCGAGUUGCAUUAUUUCCGGUCGAUUCUCUUCCAACGGGGUAUCUCGUUACAGCGGACUUUAUUCGGGCUCCAAUCUGCGCAAUUACAUCUCGGAACGAUAUCAAAGGUUCGUUUUCUCGUGAACGGAACCAGAGAGAGUCCAGGGAGUUUGUGCGAUCGGUAGCCAUUCUGCUCUCACUCUCUUUCUUUAUCUCUCUCUCUCUCUCUCUCUCUCUCCUUCUUUUUCUUUCUUUCUCUCUCCCAUUCUGUUUCUCUUUGAACAUACAUUCGGUCUAAGUCGGUUCAAUCCCUCACUACCACCAUCAACGGCAUCAUCUCAGGUGACUUCUAUAAAUUACUUGCCGUAGCUUUUGAAAGUUAUAUCAAAUGCUUUGGUCCUUUCUCGCAGAGGGACUCGUGUCGGAGUACCAACUUUGGGUCUGGCGUUAGUUCGAGUGUGCGAUUCCACGCAGUUCUCCAAGAACCCAUAUAUAUAUAUAUAUAUAUGUGUAUGUGUGUGUAUUUUCGUACAUACAUACAUAUAUACGUGUAUAUGAGCAUACCAAAGAGAGACGAAGAAGAAGAGAAAGAAAAAAAGAGAGAGAGAGAGAGAGAGAGAGAGAAAGAGAGAAGGAAGAACAUAGGUGAGUAAAGAAGAGGAAGAGAGGGUCCUCGGCACAGGAGGGGGGCCCAAAUAAUAUUUCAAAAUUAAUGUCAUGCGGGGCCUUCCAAAGGGGUCCGGUGGGUUCCGCACCACCUUCCUGCAUAAGAUAAGGCCCUCUUGGCCACCGCUCGUGAGACAAGGACCAACCAACCAACCAACCGACCGACCGACCGACCGACCGACCGACCGGCCGGCCGGCCGGCAGGACGGCCGACCGAGGGAACGCGAGCUUCGAGAACCCGAGGAAGGCGAGCGUGUGAGAGAGAGAGAGAGAAAGAGAGAGAGAGAGAAAAAGAGAAAAAGAGAGGGAGAGAGAGAGAAAGAGAGAGAGGCAUGGAAUGUGUGGGUCUAGAGAGAACACACAUAGUCAGCUUGUGGAUGGGUCGAUAAGAAAGAAAGAGAGAGAGAGAGAGAGAGAGAGAGAGAGAGAGAGAAAGAGAAAGAAAGAUGGAAGAAACGAGUGCCUGAGGGAUAAAGUGGAAGAAGAGAAGCCGGAGUCGUCUCGUGAGAGGAAAGGAUCAAGGAGAAUAGCGUGCAUUGAAAAGAGAGAGAGAGGGGGAGAUACUAAGCCGACGACCGAGGAGUAAGCGAGCGAGAGAGAAAGAAAGAGAGAGAGAGAAAGAGAAGAAGAAAGAAUGAAGAAGAGGAGAAGAAGGUAAGAAGGGAGAAGAAGGACGUACUUGCGUGUGUGCACGCGUGACUAACGGUGCGAGGGAGAUGGAGAGAGUAAAGAGUAAAAGAGAGAGAGAGAGAGAGAGAGAGAGAAGGAAACGAUGACGCCGAUGGUGGUGAACCUUAGGAAAAGGAUAGAAAGAGAAGGAGAAACAGAGAGAAAGAGAGAGAGAGGAAACGAGAAGAAGAAAGAAAGAGGAGACCGAACGAAGGAGACAAACGCACAUCUCGCUCUCUUCGAGCCCUCGAGAAAGGAUCUAGACUCUCUAGGGCCAAACCAUCUCUCCUUUACCCUCACUCUAUCUCUCUCUCUCUCUUUUCUCUCUCUCUCUCUCUCUCUCUCUCUCUCUCUCUCUCUCUCUGUCGCACUUGACGCGUUCCUCUUUCUAUCUCCUCUCCCUUUCUAUCCGUCUGCAUUCCUCGCACAGGCGCAUAGAACCGAGCGUGCAUUUCUUUCUUUCCCCUCUCUUCUCUCUCCCUAUCAUUCCCCACCCCGCGACCCUCUCCUCUUCCUCCCCUACCUUUUCCUCUUCCUCACCUCUCGUUCUUUCUCUCUCUUUCCCUCUUUCUCUCUCCACUCCUCUCUACUCCUUCUCCUCCAACUCAUCCUCUCCCUCCAACACUAAUUCACGUUGACAUCUCAGCUCUGCGGAUACACCGACGGACGGAUGACUGUUGGCGUUGGGAGGGUCAGGAUGACGAGGACGAAAGGGGCAAACAAGGUGGAUACCAACCGAACGAGAUCGUAUAGGAACUAUCUUUCUCCUUAGAAAAUUGGCGAAUCUUUGUUAUGCUUGAUUUUUAAUCAAUGUACGACAUAAUACAAUGUUUUGUUAAGUA